UGAGUCGCAUAAUGAUUCAACGGCUGUAUUUCUCUGCUAUAGUACUUGUUCAAGGCUAAAAUGAGUGUUAACUCCUGAUCAGGCUUAUCUAAUACUCAUAGUAAAUGAUUACCGAGUAUUAGUACUUGCAUAAAUCGAUUUUGACUGAACAACACUAGUAUCGAUACAUGAAUCCUAAUACAAACUCAAUCAAAUUAAUUAUCUAUCAAACUCUUGGUACCAGGACAGGAUGUAUAAACAUAGAUAAUUUCAAAAUAAUAAAAAGUAAAACACACACGUUUAUAUAUUCACAUGUUGUAUUAGAUUAAUUUGUCACCUUUUAUUAGAGAUUUUACUAUGUUUAUUCUUAUAGAUGAAAUCAAUUGCACUUUUAACCAUAUGCUUAUGGUUUAUGAUGAUAUUUUAAUAAAUAUUAACUGGGUGAUCAAUUAAAAUCACAGCUUAGACUAAACUCUAAAGGGUAUGGGGGCCGGCUGAAGCCCGGCUAGGACCGGCGCCGGUCCCCCACACCGCCCCCUGGGGCUCGGCUCGGCAAAAGCGGCUCCCCACAGCCGAGGAGACGGGCCUCCUUUCUCUCACAAUAACCUAUACAUACAUACAUACAUACAUACAUAUAUAUACAUAAAGGGGCUCAUCCCCCACCCCCUAGGUCCAUCCCCUCCAGGCCGAGCCUAUAUGGCGCUGACGUGACGACUCAUCCCCUUGAGGAUAAGGCUCUCCAUACCCACUAGCCUUACAACUUUUUGUAUUGUACCUGAAUUUGACUACCUGAUCAUUGCUGACAACAUUACACACACUACAGUACACAUCCGUUGGUGUAAAAACAUAAUAUGCAAGUCAACCCCAUCUACAUGAGAAUUCUGUCUUAAAAUACAUAACAUAAUAUGACAUUACUAGUUAAUGAAAUUUUAUUGUUGAGGUAUUUGUUGGAGGUCACCAACGGUCAACUGAUGUGUCAAAUAGAGUUGACGGACCUCCGACGAAAUUUAGCAGAAACCACAAGGACCAACGGUGUAAUUUGAACAAAGUUAAGUUAAUUGCAUUCUAGUGUUUUCAGUUUUUUUUAAUCACCAUAAUUAUUUUUUCUUUCAAACUGAUAGAUUAGGAUCAAAUAAAAAGGAUCUUAAUUGUAAAAAAGGUACAAAGGCUUCUAAAAAAACCUACUACUACAAAAAAAAAAAAA
rnacentral:lncRNA from 1 species